AGAGUUUGAUCCUGGCUCAGGAUGAACGCUGGCGGCGUGCCUAAUACAUGCAAGUCGAACGGUGGGGAGCAAUCCCCAUAGUGGCGAACGGGUGAGUAACGCGUUGGUGACCUGCCCCAAAGAAUGGGAUAACAGACCGAAAGGUUUGCUAAUACCAUAUGUGGCGUGAGGAACUGGAUACUUCACGCGAAAGGGAGAAAUCCGCUUUGGGAGGGACCUGCGUCCCAUCAGCUAGUUGGUAAGGUAAUGGCCUACCAAGGCGACGACGGGUAGGGGACCUGAGAGGGUGACCCCCCACACUGGCACUGAAACACGGGCCAGACACCUACGGGUGGCAGCAGUAGGGAAUAUUGCACAAUGGGCGCAAGCCUGAUGCAGCAACGCCGCGUGCGCGAUGAAGGCCUUCGGGUCGUAAAGCGCUUUUCUGGAGGACGAGGAAGGACGGUACUCCAGGAAGAAGGAUCGGCUAACUACGUGCCAGCAGCCGCGGUAAAACGUAGGAUCCGAGCGUUAUCCGAAUUCACUGGGCGUAAAGCGCGUGCAGGCGGCCCGCUAAGUUAGGUGUGAAACCUCCCGGCUCAACUGGGAGAGGACGCUUAAGACUGGCGGGCUCGAGGGUGGUAGAGGGAGGUGGAAUUCCCGGUGUAGUGGUGAAAUGCGUAGAUAUCGGGAGGAACACCAGUGGCGAAAGCGGCCUCCUGGACCACAACUGACGCUCCAACGCGAAAGCUAGGGGAGCAAACGGGAUUAGAAACCCCGGUAGUCCUAGCCGUAAACGAUGUAGACCUGGCGUCGGUGGGGUAAAAGCCAUCGGUGCCGAAGCCAACGCGAUAAGUCUACCGCCUGGGGACUACGGCCGCAAGGUUAAAACUCAAAGGAAUUGAUGG
rnacentral:rRNA from 1 species